ensembl:lncRNA
CAAUACACUCUUAAUCUGAUCCCAGAUAUCCCUGCAGUCACUGCUAACACCGGCCAGCAGCAUGUGCUGGACUUGUGACCACUCUGAUGGAUAGAAUGUGGCAGAAGUAGCUGUGGUUUCUGAGAUUGAGUCUUCAAAAGCCUUGAAGCUCCCUCUUUGGCCCCCUUGGAACCACCCAAUCAUCACGUUGUGACGAAGCCCCAGCCAACCUCCUGCGGGAUGAGAGGCCACAUGGAAGAGAGCCCAGGAGCCCCGCCGAAGCCAUUACCAACGACCACGCACGGACUGCGGACAUCCGGGUUUCUUCAGCUUCAGUCAAGCUAUCCAAUGACGUCAGCCACAUCAGUGAUCCCAGGCCAAGACAAGCAGAACUGCCCGGAUGGCCAACCCACAAGAAACUGCCUCAUCACAGGAGCCCGGGGAAUGCUGUGGAGUGAAUGAAUGAGGGUCUCUAAGCCACUGAAGCUGCUCCCUCUCACCAUCCCUUUGUGAACCUUGCUCAGAAGCAGUGACUGCUCUCUCUGCCAGCCCAGGGAAAGCCCCUUUGCUCACUCUGUCAGCAGAAACACACUGACUGAAGCCACCCACCCUGGCCAAGCACCAUAGUAACCAUUUGUGUGAGUUAUUUUAAGACAGGAGGUCCUGGUAAGGAACAUGGAACUAACAAGCCACCACCAACCGGAAGAGUUUGGGAAAGGUCAAAGGGAGACACCACGCAUCCUACCACCUCCCAGAAUCCUCGCUUGAAGCCAUCUCGGCUGAGCAAUGUGUGUGCCACCAGGAAGAAUCCUGAGUCAGGAUGACUGGCCAAAGACAACCCAGAAAAUAAUCCUACCAUCAUAAAACCCAAGACUGUGAG